CCUACGGGUGGCAGCAGUGAGGAAUAUUGGUCAAUGGACGAGAGUCUGAACCAGCCAAGUAGCGUGAAGGAUGACUGCCCUAUGGGUUGUAAACUUCUUUUAUAUGGGAAUAAAAUGUUCCACGUGUGGGAUUUUGUAUGUACCAUAUGAAUAAGGAUCGGCUAACUCCGUGCCAGCAGCCGCGGUAAUACGGAGGAUCCGAGCGUUAUCCGGAUUUAUUGGGUUUAAAGGGAGCGUAGGUGGAUUGUUAAGUCAGUUGUGAAAGUUUGCGGCUCAACCGGAAAAUUGCAGUUGAAACUGGCAGUCUUGAGUACAGUAGAGGUGGGCGGAAUUCGUGGUGUAGCGGUGAAAUGCUUAGAUAUCACGAAGAAAUCCGAUUGCGAAGGCAGUUCACUGGACUGCAACUGACACUGAGGCUCGAAAGUGUGGGUAUCAAACAGGAUUAGAUACCCCAGUAGUC
rnacentral:rRNA from 1 species